ensembl:snoRNA
UGCCUGCGAUGAACUGGUUUAAGUUCUGGCACCUCAGAUGAAAACUGCAUGUGAAGCCUGACUUAUUCAUGAAUGCAGCUC